rnacentral:lncRNA from 1 species
UAAAAAGAAAUAAUCUCAAGCUUUCCCGUUUAGAAGUGAAAUCCCUGGCUUUUCAUAAAUGGCUCGCUUUCCCUCACAGCACUAGAGCGAGUCCUCCUGAAGAAAAAACGACUUCGAAGUAUAAGUAAGAGCGAAGGGUGUGAGACAGAGGUUUGGGGCGUCCUAGGGGGCAACUUGGCCUGAGAAGUCUUAUCGCGAGGGGCCUUUCUCCAUCAAAAAGACAGAAAGCCCAUGUCCUCUGCCCAGCGCUGGAGCCCCGCUCAGGUUUACAGAUGCGGCGUGCGGGAGAGGAGUGGGCGGCCCACAACGAGUGUGGACGAGAAGGAGCUGGCCUCGAGAGCCUUUUCACUUCUUUAAAAAGAAAAGAAAGAAAAAGCUUCUGAGCGCAAACUUCGAAAAGUCAGGCACCAAAGUCGCGCAGAAAGGUGUCUAUCACUGCGAACGUGGUCCGGCCAUCAAAUGGGUAGCGCCUGUUCCCGACCUUUGCCCUCAAGGUUUCCUGCGCCUCCAGGACAAGCGACCUCCAGAGGAAGGACCUGUACUUAGCGUCCGCCAUUCUGUUUUCCCGGCGUCACCGUCGAAGAGUUAGAUACUCCUCACUAGAAAGGGAGACGAAGUGUCGUUGGCACCGAUUUCAGGUACGUGGAAACCGCCCUUCUCUGGGCGCAAACCUCACCAUGUCACCAGUCAAUGGAAUUACGCUCCGUUUAU